GCCAGGCUAGCUAAAUUCGGUAGAGCAUGAGACUCUUAAUGUCAGGGUCGUGGGUUCGAGCCCCACGUUGGGCU
rnacentral:tRNA from 1 species